rnacentral:rRNA from 1 species
AUGAAUCUCAUCAGUUGGAACUGCCGGGGCGGGGGGAACUCUCGGACUGUUCGAGAAAUUGUGACGCUCUCCCAGUCACACUCCCCCAUGCUGGUUUUCCUUUGCGAGACCAGACAGAAAGCAACAAAAAUGAGAAUAAUUCGUGGACGCCUCGGAUUGAAAGGUUUUGACGGGGUGGACAGUAAUGGUUUGAGUGGUGGCCUAGCUCUUUUUCUGGCAUGA